rnacentral:lncRNA from 1 species
GAGAGAGUUUAGAGAAAGAGAUAGUGAUGGUGGUUGUUUAACUUUUUCAGAUUGACGCAGGUACAAGGCUUAUAUAUCAAGCAACAACGUAGUGGUAUGGAUAACAUAGGUUGUAUCAUUUUAGUUCAAAUGACACAACAGUAUGAAAAGAGUACGUUAAGCUUUUCAAUCAAAUAUAUAUGUCAGAUCUCAUAUAUACAUUUGAUGCAAUAAAAGCUUCAGAUUAAAUGGAUAAAUGAAAACAGGUACCAAAAUUCUCACAACUUAUUAAAACAGACACCCCUGGUCAUGCAUAAUUGUUUUUCCGUUUAGUCAGCUAUUACUUUAUAUUUGGAAUAACUGUGACAUUUCAAAGCAUUCAAAUGAUUCAAACCAGCAACUUAGAAGAAAAAAAAGGUAAAUAAGAUGAGGAUAUAGAAACACAAAAGAAAAGAAGAGUCGCCUCAUCGAUUGGUGGUUGAAUGGGGCGAAGUUGGUGCCGAUGUUAGGUGGUGGAAUACAGGAAAACCUAAAACUUAUUUGAAUCUGAAUCUGUCAUUGUACUAUUCAAUCGACCAGAUGAGGAAAUCAAACCAUUUGCAGGUUUUGUUUAAGAGGUUAGGGCUUAAAAUCAUUAUCAAGUUAUAUUUAAGGGUUGAAAUCGUUGUUACCUUGAAUAUAUAAAGGCAGUAAAAUGAAAAAAAGGCUCGCUGUUGAGGUUUGAACUUGAACUGGUCGGUUGUCUCAGUGUCUCCUACAUGCACAACAUCAAGAUUGAGAGUUGGUUUUUAGGGAUUGAAAUAUAGAGAGAGAGGAAGGUUUGGGUAUCGGAAUAGGAGGCUACAAAUCAGAAACCAAGGGUUUCAUUAGAAACGAGAACAACAAAUAGGAGGCUACAAUAAAACAUACCAUUCCUCAUGUUCCUCAUCGAAAACAAAUCAGAAACCAAGGGUUUCAUUAGAAACGGUGAGCACAAGGAAAUCUGAUAUGUCUUGCUAAAAAUAACAAAGAAAGUUUAGAGGUUUUAGGAUUUGUUUUUGAAGAGUGGUGGCUGAUAGUAGCUAUGGUUUGAUUAUGUAUUCGUAAAUUAAGAGAGAUUGAGAAGGUGGGUGAUCGUGUAGUGGCGGAGGUNGUAAAUUAAGAGAGAUUGAGAAGGUGGGUGAUCGUGUAGUGGCGGAGAAGGCAAAAUAUGAUUGUAACAGAGGAUGAGUGUGGUGAUGGAGCUCUGAGUGAGGUUUAUGUUGGUGUGGUAGGAAAUCAAGAGACGCAAUGAAAGGGACGCAAUCGGAAACCAAUAUUCCUUGUGUUUGUAUUUCAAAAGCAG